GGAUGUGAGGGCGAUCUGGCUGCGACAUCUGUCACCCCAUUGAUCGCCAAGGUUGAUUCGGCUGAUCUGGCUGACUAGGCGGGUGUCCCCUUCCUCCCUCACUGCUCCAUGUGCGUCCCUCCCGAAGCUGCGCGCUAUGUCAAAGAGGACGGCCUUCCCCGAAUAGAGACGGACCGGUCUUCUGUGGAGGGUAUACGUGUAGCUGCGCUCCCCUGCUAGAACCUCCAAACAAGCUCUCAAGAAUUGUGUAGUUUUGGGACAGGGUGGUGGCGUACCUAGUUGAGCUGUUAUGUUAGAAUGAGCAACGACCGGGGUUCAAGCCCCUGUUCUCCACAUGCAGGAGGGAAAGCUUUGCCAGUGGUAAAGCGGUGUUGC
rfam:Erinaceus europaeus unplaced genomic scaffold scaffold00463, whole genome shotgun sequence